UGGGGAAUCUUCCACAAUGGACGAAAGUCUGAUGGAGCAACGCCGCGUGAGUGAAGAAGGUUUUCGGAUCGUAAAGCUCUGUCUUUUGGGACGAAUGUGCAGCUUGUGAAUAAUGAGCUGCAAUGACGGUACCAGAGGAGGAAGCCACGGCUAACUACGUGCCAGCAGCCGCGGUAAUACGUAGGUGGCGAGCGUUGUCCGGAAUUAUUGGGCGUAAAGAGCGCGUAGGCGGAACUGCAAGUCUAAUUUAAAAGUGCGGAGCUCAACUCCGUGAGGGGUUAGAAACUGCAGAUCUUGAGUGCAGGAGAGGAAAGUGGAAUUCCCAGUGUAGCGGUGAAAUGCGUAGAGAUUGGGAGGAACACCAGUGGCGAAGGCGACUUUCUGGACUGUGUCUGACGCU
rnacentral:rRNA from 1 species